rnacentral:piRNA from 1 species
UAUGGCCCAAGUGACAGAACUGUUUGC